GGGCGUGUAGCUCAACUGGUUAGAGCGCAAGACCGAUAAUCUUGAGGUCGUAGGUUCGAGUCCUACCAGGCCC
rnacentral:tRNA from 1 species